CAAUCUGCCCUAAAGACUGGGAUACCACUUGGAAACAGGUGCUAAUACUGGAUAACAACAUGAAUCGCAUGAUUCAAGUUUGAAAGGCGGCGCAAGCUGUCACUUUAGGAUGAGCCCGCGGCGCAUUAGCUAGUUGUGGGGUAAAGGCCUACCAAGGCAAUGAUGCGUAGCCUAGUUGAGAGACUGAUCGGCCACAUUGGGACUGAGACACGGCCCAAACUCCGUACGGGAGGCAGCAGCC
rnacentral:rRNA from 1 species